GACAGAGAAAGGAAGAGAGAGAAGAAAGCGGGCGCAUGUUUAAUCGACAGCUCGGCACGAGCAACAAGAUGGAUGGAGUAGGCGUGGAGACGAUGCAGGAGCCGAUGCCGUCGACCAAUAACGCGCUUUCUUGGCCUUUUGCAUCCCAUGCUCCAUGGCUCAUCCCUUCUCUGUAUAUUUGGCGGUAAAUCCCCAUCCGCGGGAAAAAAAAUCGCACUUCACGCGCCAAAUUAGUUAGUCGAAGCGUCAAAUUCCUACUGAAAUACCCCAUCUAGUUAGUAAUCCCUCAACUCAAUCUGCUGAAACAAUGGGUCGCUCGAAACGGGAGGUUGCGCCGCCGCCGCCGCCAUCUCCGUCGCAAGCCUCGCCGGGAUCCUUCGCAUCUGGCAUGAUGUUGCCGGGAUCCUUAGGCAGUGGUGCCUGGCAAGGUCCGGCGCCACCGCAGCCGCCGCACCCUUUGCUCUACGCGUACGGCGCCGCUGCUUCUGCUUUUCCCAUGGCCCAAAUGAAGCAAGGAUUGGAUCGUAGUGCCAUUGAUUUGUCAGAUCUGCAAGAACGUGGUAUGGACUUUCAUCCGCCUGGUGGUUUCUUAAGUUACUUUCAGGAUCCAUCAAUUUUACAGAAUCAUCGACCUUUUGUGCCUCCAAAUUAUUAUCCUGCUGAACAAGUAGCACCAUGUUCAAAAUUACGUCCAGGAGCACAACAACCUGUCAACAUUGAUAGUGGUGAUGAAGAAGCCCACACUGUUAGGACUGAGAAGCGGUUGACAUGGUCAACAGAGGAGGACAUAAGACUAGUGAGUGCUUGGCUAAACAACUCGAAUGAUUCGAUCAGUGGUAAUUUUAAGAAAAAUGAUCGUUAUUGGGGAGAUGUUACUGCUGAGUAUAAUAGCACCACUCCCAAAAACAGGACAAGGCAAGAAAAACAAAUCAAAGACCGUUUUCAUAAAAUUAAGAAAAAUGUUGGCCGUUUCUGUUGUGUUUAUAAAGAGGUUAAAUCCAUAUAUGUUAGUGGACAAAAUGAUAUGCAACUCAGGGAAAAGGCUGAAGCAGCAUAUCAAGCAGAUUACAAGGAAGGCCCAUUUUCAUUUCUGCAUUGUUGGAACAUUCUUCGUGACCAACCAAAGUGGCAUUCUUACUUGGAGGAACUUGAGAAGCCAAACAAACCAAAGAUGGAUGAUUAAGUGGAAGUGAUGGAGCAAAUGUCCACUCCUAACAGUCCUGAAGAUAUUAAACGUCCAAUAGGAACAAAAACUGCUAAGGCGCAACGUAAUGGUAAAGGCAGACGCAAAAGGAAGGCAAAGGUUUAUCUAUCAGAUACUGAUGAUGAAAUUGACAAGCUUAAAGAAGUUCAGGAGAUGGCAAAUAAAGGUCGUGAUGAACUACUAGAGACUCAGAGGCGUGUUGCUAGUGAUAACCUUGAAUCAAAAAAGUUAGCGCACCUUGCAGCCAUGGAGCACAAGGAGGCUGUUAUGUUGGAAACAUAUCGGUCUCUCAUGUUACAAGAUACAAAAGAUAUUCCUGAUGAUGUUAGAUCCGAGCAUUUGAUGGCAUUGAAGUGUAUGAGGGAGAAGUUGUUUCCGUAAUACUAAGGGACAAUGGAAAACUUUGGUGCUAGCUUUUUGGUGCUUUCUGCUAUGGUUUUGAGAGGUAGUGAAGAUGCUCAAUUUGGAAGGCUGGCAGCUUGUUUUGGUUCUGCUUGAGAAAGAUAAUCUAGUUAUAAAGUAAUUUUUAGUAAUUCGCUGGUGUCAUGUAAGAACACUUGUGUUGUUACCAUCUAUUGGCAGUAUGGAUCGUUGUAAUGGCCUAAUUUCUUUUGUCGAAUGUUGAUGUAUGGAUCAUUGCAACAGACUAAGUUAUUUUGUCGGUCUAUGAAUUAGUUAUUUGUCAAUCUGUGAAUAUUCUUUCGAUCAAGUAACAAUCUGAAUCACUAUUGUACUGUUUA